AUAAAUUUCCGGUAACCAAUCCGGCUUAAAAUCAUAUUUCCGGUAACCAAUCCGGCUGGCCAGAUGUUAAUUCAUCUGGUCUUUUU
rnacentral:sRNA from 1 species